rnacentral:rRNA from 1 species
UUAAAUUGAAGAGUUUGAUCAUGGCUCAGAUUGAACGCUGGCGGCAGGCUUAACACAUGCAAGUCGAACGGUAGCAGGGAGAAAGCUUGCUUUCUUUGCUGACGAGUGGCGGACGGGUGAGUAAUGCUUGGGGAUCUGGCUUAUGGAGGGGGAUAACGACGGGAAACUGUCGCUAAUACCGCGUAAUGUCUAAGGACUAGAGGGUGGGACUUUCGGGCCACCUGCCAUAAGAUGAGCCCAAGUGGGAUUAGGUAGUUGGUGGGGUAAAGGCCUACCAAGCCGACGAUCUCUAGCUGGUCUGAGAGGAUGACCAGCCACACUGG